GGGCGAGGAGGCUCUUUGGCCUAGGGAGUGAUCGAUCAUGGUGUAUCACCCCAUGUACUGGUAAUGAUGAUACACCUCCAUCUCUGGAUACAGAUGCCAGUUAUUCAUCACCCAACCCCUCUGAUACAGCACCAGAACCAUCCCCUGUCGUAGCUGCUUCUUGGACCCCGACGUAUCCAUCAUAUGCA